rnacentral:rRNA from 1 species
CUUUACUGUAGCUUGGAAUUGAAAUCGGGCUCGUUUUGCGCAGCCUAGGUGGGAGGCGUUGAAGAUCUUUCUCCGGGAAGAUUGGAGCCAUCAUUGAGAGACCGCUCUUAACGAGCUAGAUUUCUAAUUGUGCUCCUUGAAUCAGGACACAAGACAGUUUCUGGUGGGCAGUUUUAUUGGGGCAAUAGCCUCCUAAAAGGUAACGGAGGCGCGCAAAGGUUCCCUCAGGCUAGACGGAAAUUAGCCGCAGAGCGUAAAGGCAGAAGGGAGCUUGACUGCAAGACCGACACGUCGAGCAGGAGCGAAAGCUGGCCUUAGUGAUCCGACGGUACUGCGUGGAAAGGCCGUCGCUCAACGGAUAAAGGUUA